rnacentral:rRNA from 1 species
UCGGGAAUUUUGGGCAAUGGGGGAAACCCUGACCCAGCAACGCCGCGUGAAGGAUGAAGUAUUUCGGUAUGUAAACUUCGAAAGAAUAGGAAGAAUAAAUGACGGUACUAUUUAUAAGGUCCGGCUAACUACGUGCCAGCAGCCGCGGUAAUACGUAGGGACCAAGCGUUGUUCGGAUUUACUGGGCGUAAAGGGCGCGUAGGCGGCAUGACAAGUCACUUGUGAAAUCUCUGGGCUUAACCCAGAACGGCCAAGUGAUACUGUCGCGUCUAGAGUGCAGAAGGGGCAAUCGGAAUUCUUGGUGUAGCGGUGAAAUGCGUAGAUAUCAAGAGGAACACCUGAGGUGAAGACGGGUUGCUGGGCUGACACUGACGCUGAGGCGCGAAAGCCAGGGGAGCAAACGGGAUUAGAUACCCGGGUAGUCCCUGAGCGGGCUGGCAAGGCGCAU